rfam:Camelus ferus unplaced genomic scaffold scaffold823, whole genome shotgun sequence.
GAGGGUAUAGCUCAGUGGCAGAGUGCAUGCUUAGCAUGCACGAGGUACUGGGCUCAAUCCCCAGUGUCUCCA